UUGUUGAUUCUGUUUCACUGUUCCAUUGCUUUGCUUAAUUUCUAUAGGUUCCUUUGAGUCAUUUGAUUGAUCCAGCUUUGAUUUGAUUCAAUUUCUUCAUUUUAAUUGGUUCAUAUCAUCAUUUGAGUGUUUUUUUUCUUUAUUUUUUUUAAUCAACUUUAGUCAUGUUCAGUCAUGUGUUGUGGCUUUAUUUUGUCUAAAUUCUUGAGUUGAAACUGGUUUGAUGAAAUUUCAUUGUUGAAGAUCAAAUGGAAUUCUC
rnacentral:lncRNA from 1 species